rnacentral:rRNA from 1 species
CACGUAGGGGGCAAGCGUUGUCCGGAUUUAUUGGGCGUAAAGAGCUCGUAGGCGGCUCAGUAAGUUGGGUGUGAAAUUCUCGGGCUCAACCCGGGAACGCCACCCGAUACUGCUGUGGCUAGAGUCCGGUAGGGGAGCGUGGAAUUCCUGGUGUAGCGGUGAAAUGCGCAGAUAUCAGGAGGAACACCAGCGGCGAAGGCGGCGCUCUGGGCCGGAACUGACGCUGAGGAGCGAAAGCGUGGGGAGCGAACAGG